GUGACUCGGAAGAUGAACGUGACGAGGGGCGUGAUGGACUUAAGGAAUUCAUUGCAGAACCAACACCACCACCACCACCACCA